AUACCAUGAUGUGGACACGUAACCAGCAGACCCUUAAACCUCUCCCACGUUUCUUGUAAUGUCUCUGUUGGUUUCUGUCUUAAGUUCAAUAUCUCAUCAAUUUGUUG
rnacentral:snoRNA from 1 species